UACGUAGGGGGCAAGCGUUGUCCGGAAUUAUUGGGCGUAAAGAGCGUGUAGGCGGCCAGAUAAGUCCGCUGUGAAAUCUCGAGGCUCAACCUCGAGCUGUCGGUGGAAACUGUCUGGCUAGAGUCCGGAAGAGGAGAGUGGAAUUCCUGGUGUAGCGGUGAAAUGCGCAGAUAUCAGGAAGAACACCUAUGGCGAAGGCAGCUCUCUGGGACGGUACUGACGCUGAGACGCGAAAGCGUGGGGAGCGAACAGG
rnacentral:rRNA from 1 species